GACGUAGGGGGCAAGCGUUGUCCGGAAUUAUUGGGCGUAAAGAGCGUGUAGGCGGCCAGAUAAGUCCGCUGUGAAAUCUCGAGGCUCAACUUCGAGCUGUCGGUGGAAACUAUCUGGCUAGAGUCCGGAAGAGGAGAAUGGAAUUCCUGGUGUAGCGGUGAAAUGCGCAGAUAUCAGGAAGAACACCCGUGGCGAAGGCGGUUCUCUGGGACGGUACUGACGCUGAGACGCGAAAGCGUGGGGAGCGAACAGG
rnacentral:rRNA from 1 species